AGAGUUUGAUCCUGGCUCAGGACGAACGCUGGCGGCGUGCCUCAAACAUGCAAGUCGAACGGGCGGAGGUAUCCCCGCAAGGGGAGACCGAAGUCAGUGGCGAACGGGUGAGUAACACGUGGGUAACCUGCCCUAAAGCCUGGGAUAACGGACCGAAAGGUCCGCUAAUACCGGAUAAUGUCCUUCUGCCGCAUGGUGGGGGGAAGAAAGUCGCAAGACGCUUUUGGAUGAGCUCGCGUCCCAUCAGCUAGUUGGUAAGGUAACGGCUUACCAAGGCGACGACGGGUAGCCGGUCUGAGAGGAUGGUCGGCCACACUGGGACUGAGAUACGGCCCAGACUCCUACGGGAGGCAGCAGUUGGGAAUAUUGGGCAAUGGGCGAAAGCCUGACCCAGCGACGCCGCGUGAGGGAAGAAGGCCUUCGGGUCGUAAACCUCUGUCAUCGGGGACGAAGGAAGUGACGGUACCCGAGGAGGAAGCCCCUGCUAACUACGUGCCAGCAGCCGCGGUAAUACGUAGGGGGCAAGCGUUGUCCGGAGUUACUGGGCGUAAAGGGCGUGUAGGCGGUUUGUUAAGUCAGGUGUGAAAAUUCAGGGCUCAACCCUGAACCUGC
rnacentral:rRNA from 1 species